CCUACGGGAGGCAGCAGUGGGGAAUAUUGCACAAUGGGGGAAACCCUGAUGCAGCGACGCCGCGUGAAGGAAGAAGUAUUUCGGUAUGUAAACUUCUAUCAGCAGGGAAGAAAAUGACGGUACCUGACUAAGAAGCCCCGGCUAACUACGUGCCAGCAGCCGCGGUAAUACGUAGGGGGCAAGCGUUAUCCGGAUUUACUGGGUGUAAAGGGAGCGUAGGCGGUCUGACAAGUCAGAAGUGAAAGCCCGGGGCUCAACUCCGGGACUGCUUUUGAAACUGCCGGACUAGAUUGCAGGAGAGGUAAGUGGAAUUCCUAGUGUAGCGGUGAAAUGCGUAGAUAUUAGGAGGAACACCAGUGGCGAAGGCGGCUUACUGGACUGUAAAUGACGCUGAGGCUCGAAAGCGUGGGGAGCAAACAGGAUU
rnacentral:rRNA from 1 species